CGUAGGGGGCAAGCGUUGUCCGGAUUUAUUGGGCGUAAAGAGCUCGUAGGCGGUUCGGCAAGUCGGGUGUGAAACCCCCAGGCUCAACCUGGGGACGCCACCCGAGACUGCUGUGACUUGAGUCCGGUAGGGGAGCGUGGAAUUCCUGGUGUAGCGGUGAAAUGCGCAGAUAUCAGGAGGAACACCAGCGGCGAAGGCGGCGCUCUGGGCCGGAACUGACGCUGAGGAGCGAAAGCGUGGGUAGCAAACAGGAUUAGAUACCCUGGUAGUCCACGCCGUAAACGUUGGGCACUAGGUGUGGGGCCUUAUCAACGGGUUCCGUGCCGCAGCUAACGCAUUAAGUGCCCCGCCCGGGGAGUACUGCCGCAAGGCUA
rnacentral:rRNA from 1 species